GAUGAACGCUAGCGAGAGGCCUAACACAUGCAAGUCGAGGGGUAACAGGGGAGCUUGCUCCCGCUGACGACCGGCGCACGGGUGAGUAACGCGUAUGCAACCUGCCCGCACAGGGGGAUAGCCUUCCGAAAGGGAGAUUAACACCGCAUAAGACCACGCCUGGGCAUCCAGGAGGGGUAAAAUUUUCAUAGGUGGCGGCUGGGCAUGCGUGACAUUAGCUAGUUGGCGGGGCAACGGCCCACCAAGGCGACGAUGUCUAGGGGAACUGAGAGGUCGAUCCCCCACACUGGUACUGAGACACGGACCAGACUCCUACGGGAGGCAGCAGUGAGGAAUAUUGGUCAAUGGAGGAAACUCUGAACCAGCCAUCUCGCGUGAAGGACUACGGCCCUACGGGUCUUAAACUUCUUUUAUAGGGGGAUAAAGUCGCAUACGAGUAUGUGAUUGCAGGUACCCUAUGAAUAAGCAUCGGCUAACUCCGUG
rnacentral:rRNA from 1 species